rnacentral:lncRNA from 1 species
AAUAAAUCUAUUACAAUCUUUACAACACAUAUAUGCUAGUCUUCACUCAGCUUGACACGUCACGGCUUCACACUUCACACUUGAGCUUGUGUAAAAGAGGAACCACCACAUUUUUAAGUCUACAAACAUGUGUAUAUAUCAUGCCACAUCAAUUUUGAGUUUCAUUCUUGACAAACCUCCAUUUCUGCAGGUUUGCCUUCGGCUUCAUUCG